CCUACGGGGGGCUGCAGUGGGGAAUAUUGCACAAUGGGGGAAACCCUGAUGCAGCGACGCCGCGUGAGUGAAGAAGUAUUUCGGUAUGUAAAGCUCUAUCAGCAGGGAAGAAAAUGACGGUACCUGAUUAAGAAGCCCCGGCUAACUACGUGCCAGCAGCCGCGGUAAUCCGUAGGGGGCAAGCGUUAUCCGGAUUUACUGGGUGUAAAGGGAGCGUAGACGGCAGCACAAGUCUGGAGUGAAAUGCCGGGGCUUAAGCCCGGAACUGCUUUGGAAACUGUGCAGAUAGAGUGCAGGAGAGGGAAGGGGAAUUACUAGUGUAGGGGUGAAAUGCGGAGAUAUUAGGAGGAACACCAGUGGCGAAGGCGGCUUAAUGGACUGGAACUGACGUUGAGGCUAGAAAGCGGGGGGAGCAAACAGGAUUAGAUACCCCAGUAGUG
rnacentral:rRNA from 1 species